rnacentral:lncRNA from 1 species
CCAUGAUCCUGCUCAGUGCAGCAUUCCUUGUAGGCGACUCGCUGAGCCCCUCAAUACCACUGUACAGGGAAUGGGAAAUCCUCCGUUCCCUGUCAUCCAGCAGUGUUUCGAUGGGCAGCUCUGGACCAGAGGGGCUCCCAGGUGACUCCAGCUCAUUGCAUUUACUUAUUCGCCUUGCCACAAUAAGCUGAAUCAUUCCUCGUUUGUUUCCUUCAGUGGACAUGGAUCUUCUUAAAGUUUCCAUAGCAUCUUGAUUUGUUUUGCCCAGUAAUGAUUCUCCAUUUACCGCUAUUAGUUGAUCGUUCACUCGAAGCCUGCCAUCCUUGGAUGCUGCUCCACCGUUAAUGAUGGACUUGACAAAGAUUCCUAAAUCGGCAUGAUUUUCUUUUGACCGAUUCCCUUUGACACUCACACCAAGUCCAGCUGAUCCUGAGUCAUUAAGUGGAACUUCAAAUGUCAGGAAUUCCCUGGUGCCAUCAGGUGUGAGAACAAGCUCUUCUUCUUCUGCUUUCGUUUCCUUUGGAAUUUGUGACUGGCUUUGUUCUGCAUUCAGUUCCCUUGGAUGGAAUGUUUCU